rnacentral:rRNA from 1 species
AACGAACGCUGGCGGCAGGCCUAACACAUGCAAGUCGAACGCGCGUAGCAAUACGCGAGUGGCGCACGGGUGAGUAACACGUGGGAAUCUACCCAGAGGUUCGGAAUAACCGCGGGAAACUGCGGCUAAUACCGGAUGUCCCCUACGGGGGAAAGAUUUAUCGCCUUUGGACGAGCCCGCGUCCGAUUAGCUAGUUGGUGAGGUAAUGGCUCACCAAGGCUACGAUCGGUAGCUGGUCNGAGAGGACGACCAGCCACACUGGAACUGAGACACGGUCCAGACUCCUACGGGAGGCAGCAGUGGGGAAUAUUGGGCAAUGGAGGCAACUCUGACCCAGCCAUGCCGCGUGGGUGACGAAGGUCUUCGGAUUGUAAAGCCCUUUCGGCGGGACGAUGAUGACGGUACCCGCAGAAGAAGCCCCGGCUAACUUCGUGCCAGCAGCCGCGGUAAU